UAUUUUACAACAUAGAUUGUAUUAUACAUACGUAAUAUCUAUAGAUACAUAAAGUAUCUAAACAAAAUAGAAUACAUUAAAUAUGCUAACGUGUUAUAUUUUAUAGCAAUUACUACAAAUAUUGCGUAUGUAUAUUUGUAUAUGUAUUAAUACAUAAAAUACCUAAACCUAAAUGGACUUUAAUAUAUACAGUAUUUCCCCAUUUAUAGUCCAUUUCAGUUGUAUAUGUCGGAGAUGAAAGAACACCGGAGCCUUUGGAAUUUUGGAUAAUCCCGCAACAUUGUAACCUAGAGUCUACUAUAGCUGUAAUUGAACAAUUGUAGUUAUUCAAUCCGAUUGUAAUUGUUCGAGAGUUGUGAUAGUGAGCUUGGGCUCGAGGCGACAGUCAGUCGCCGAACGUAGCCGCGGUCACGGGAUGAACGCUUUGUCUAACAAAGGUAUGGAGUAAUUCUAUAGCUCUCCUUAAAAGAAAUAUUUGUGGCGACACGCGACAGUAAACAUUCCAACGGUUUCUGUCCCGUGGCUCGCCACGUGCAGACCCUAUUCUUCGAGUAAGAUGAUUGCCAGAUGUCGAUGCGUCUCCGCAGUACAUGUUCGGCUAGCCCGAGGGCCCGUUAUAAAUCUUAAGGUUUAGUUAACUAAAGUCCUUCAAACAGACAAACAGUCUUUGUCCCAACUACGGGAAGAUAGGGGAGACAUAUUUUUCAACGAGCGGCGUCUCCCACUAGCAACUUUCCCUCGAGGGCGACUAGCAUCCUUUUCUAACCACCGAUAUGGAGAUUGACCAAUUAGCAGCAACGUCAAUUUCCCUUACUUUCUGAACGAAGGCUUUUCUCGACGAAUCCGAUGAUCUCGUAUCCUUAGACACACCCCGUUAUAGUUUUCCUGUGUGGCAUCAUCGGGACGGGAAAGGCAUUCUCGCUCGCGAUCUCAUCGAUCAAAGAGUAACGCUUUCGCGAUCAGUGAUUAUUCUCAGACUUAGACUUUGUGAGUACGUUCUGUUGUCAUCCCGUUGGCCGCGGAUUCGUUAUUUAGCCCGAGAGCAUCGUCACUAGUGUCGCGAGUGCCGAACCGCCGUGAUCAAUUGUUAAGACUGUAAUAAUUCUAUCAUUGUAAUAAACUACGCCUGUGUGUACCGUAUCAAUGGCUAA